rnacentral:rRNA from 1 species
CCUACGGGAGGCAGCAGUGGGGAAUAUUGCUCAAUGGGGGAAACCCUGAAGCAGCAACGCCGCGUGAGGGAUGAAGGUUUUCGGAAUGUAAAGCCCUUUUGGUAGGGAAGAAAAUGACGGUAUCUGAGGAAGAAGCACCGGCUAACUACGUGCCAGCAGCCGCGGUAAUACGGAGGGGGCCAGCGUUACUCGGAAUUACUGGGGGUAAAGGGGGCGUAGGCGGGAGAGCAAGUCAGGUGUGAAAUCCUAGGGCUUAACCAUCGGACUGCAUUUGAAACUGGUAUUCUAGAGUGUGGGAGAGGUAUGUGGAAUUCGUGGUGUAGCGGUGAAAUGCGUAGAGAUCAAGAGGAAUACCCAUUGCGAAGGCGGCCUACUGGAACAUAACUGACGCUGAGGCGCGAAAGCGUGGGGAGCAAACAGGAUUAGAUACCCUAGUAGUC